AUACGUAGGGGCCGAGCGUUGUCCGGAGUUACUGGGCGUAAAGCGCGCGCAGGCGGCUCGUCAAGCCUGACGUGAAAGCCCCCGGCUCAACCGGGGAGGGUCGUCGGGGACUGGCGGGCUUGAGGUCGGCAGGGGUUGGUGGAAUUCCCGGUGUAGUGGUGAAAUGCGUAGAGAUCGGGAGGAACACCCGUGGCGAAGGCGGCCAACUGGGCCGAACCUGACGCUGAGGCGCGAAGGCGUGGGGAGCGAACGGGAUUAGAUACCCCGGUAGUCCACGCAGUAAACGAUGCAGACUAGGCGUGGGGGGACUUGACCCCCUCCGUGCCGUAGCUAACGCGUGAAGUCUGCCGCCUGGGGAGUACGGCCGCAAGGCUAAA
rnacentral:rRNA from 1 species